GGCGGACGGGUGAGUAACGCGUGGGAAUCUACCUAGUAGUGGGGGACAACUUGUGGAAACGCAAGCUAAUACCGCAUACGUCCUAAGGGAGAAAGGGGGCUUCGGCUCUCGCUAUUGGAUGAGCCCGCGUUAGAUUAGCUAGUUGGUGGGGUAAAGGCCUACCAAGGCGACGAUCUAUAGCUGGUCUUAGAGGAUGAUCAGCCACACUGGGACUGAGACACGGCCCAGACUCC
rnacentral:rRNA from 1 species